CCUACGGGUGGCAGCAGUAGGGAAUUUUGCGCAAUGGGCGAAAGCCUGACGCAGCAACACCGCGUGAAUGUUAAGCCCUUCGGGGUGUAAAGUUCUGUCAAUAGGGACGAAUUUUGACUGUACCUGAAGAAAAAGCAUCGGCUAACUCCGUGCCAGCAGCCGCAGUAAUACGGAGGAUGCGAGCGUUAUCCGGAUUUAUUGGGUUUAAAGGGUGCGUAGGCGGAAUAUCAAGUCAGCGGUAAAAAUUCGGGGCUCAACCCCGUCGUGCCGUUGAAACUGAUGUUCUUGAGUGGGCGAGAAGUAUGCGGAAUGCGUGGUGUAGCGGUGAAAUGCAUAGAUAUCACGCAGAACUCCGAUUGCGAAGGCAGCAUACCGGCGCCCAACUGACGCUGAAGCACGAAAGCGUGGGUAUCGAACAGGAUUAGAUACCCGAGUAGUC
rnacentral:rRNA from 1 species